rnacentral:rRNA from 1 species
GACGUAGGGUGCAAGCGUUGUCCGGAUUUAUUGGGCGUAAAGCGUGCGCAGGCGGUGAUGUAAGACAGAUGUGAAAUCCCCGGGCUCAACCUGGGAACUGCAUUUGUGACUGCAUCGCUGGAGUGCGGCAGAGGGGGAUGGAAUUCCGCGUGUAGCAGUGAAAUGCGUAGAUAUGCGGAGGAACACCGAUGGCGAAGGCAAUCCCCUGGGCCUGCACUGACGCUCAUGCACGAAAGCGUGGGGAGCGAAACACGGAUUGAG